UGUUGGUAUCUUAGUGGCGGACGGGUGAGUAACGCGUGGGUAACCUGCCUUACACUGGGGGAUAACACUUAGAAAUAGGUGCUAAUACCGCAUAACAGGAGAAGACGCAUGUCUUUUCCUUGAAAACUCCGGUGGUGUAAGAUGGACCCGCGUCUGAUUAGCUGGUUGGCGGGGUAACGGCCCACCAAGGCGACGAUCGGUAGCCGGCCUGAGAGGGUGAACGGCCACAUUGGGACUGAGACACGGCCCAAACUCCUACGGGAGGCAGCAG
rnacentral:rRNA from 1 species